rnacentral:rRNA from 1 species
UACGUAGGGGGCUAGCGUUGCUCGGAAUUACUGGGCGUAAAGGGCGCGUAGGCGGAUAGUUUAGUCAGAGGUGAAAUCCCAGGGCUCAACCUUGGAACUGCCUUUGAUACUGGCUAUCUUGAGUUCGGGAGAGGUGAGUGGAAUGCCGAGUGUAGAGGUGAAAUUCGUAGAUAUUCGGCGGAACACCAGUGGCGAAGGCGACUCACUGGACCGAUACUGACGCUGAGGCGCGAAAGCGUGGGGAGCAAACAGG